GUGCUUGCUUCAGCAGCACAUAUACUAAAAUUUGAACGAUACACAGAAGAUUAGCGUGGCCCUGAGCAAGGGUGACAUGCAAAUUUGUGAAGCGUUCCACUUUUUU
rnacentral:snRNA from 1 species